rnacentral:lncRNA from 10 species
GGUGCAUGCAGCCCCCAGUCACUUACCCCCUGCUUGCUCAAUCAAUCACGACCCUCUCACGCGCACCCCCUUAGAGUCAUGAGCCCUUAAAAGGGACAGGAAUUGCUCACUCAGGGGGCUCGGCUCUUGAGACAGGAGCCUUGUUGAUGCCCCCGGCCGAAUAAACCCCUUCCUUCUUUAACUCGCUGUCUGAGGAGGUUUGCCUGUGGCUGGUCCUGCUACAUUUCUUGGUUCCCUGACCGGGAAGCGAGCUGAAUGGCGGAUGGUUGAGGCAGCUCCUUAGGCGGCUUAAGCCUGUCCUGUGGAACAUCCCUGUGGGGGACUCUGACCAGCCCGAGCGACGCGGAUCCUGAGAGCGCUCCCGGGAAGGAAUUUGCCCCGGUGGGACGCCUCUCCAGAGCAGUGUGUUGCAGGCCCUCGUGGAGUAUCAAUGCAGUGGCUGAACACCGGGAAGGAAUGGGCACUUGAAGUCUGGAUAUCUAAAACUUGGAACUACUUAAUUCUGAAAGUCUUGUGAAAAGACAUGGCGAGAAGCGGAGUCAAGCACACACCACGAUGGCGGAGAAAGGAAGAGAGGGCGCUGGUGUCAAACUUCUGGCCUCAGUGAUACUCCUACCUCAGCCUCCCAAAGCACUGGGAUUCAGGCAAGAGCCACUGGACCCAGCCCUCAUUAUUGUUUUUGAGGUAUAAUUUGCAUGCAGUAAAAUUCAUCCUUUUUAGCAUUCUAUGAGCUUUGGCCAAUGUAUGUAUUCAUAUAAACACCACCACAGUCAAGCUAUAGAAUGUUUCCAACAUGUCACGACGUUUGUUUAUGCCCCUGUAGUCAACCUUUCCCCCCACACUAGCCCCUCAAAACCACCGAUGUGGCCAGGUGUGGUGGCUCAUGCCUGUAAUCCCAACACUUUGGGAGGCUGAGGCGGAUGGAUCACCUGAGGUCAGGAGUUCAAGACCAGCCUGACCAAUAUGGUGAAACCCUGUUUCUACU